UGGGCUUGACAUGUGCCUGACCGCCCUGUUUCCAGGGCGGUCAGGCACAUGUCAAGCCCAGGUAAGGUUCUUCGCGUUGCGUCGAAUUAAACCACAUGCUCCGCUGCUUGUGCGGGUCCCCGUCAAUUCCUUUGAGUUUUAGCCUUGCGGCCGUACUCCCCAGGCGGGGCACUUAAUGCGUUAGCUUCGGCACGGAGGGAGUCGACACCCCCCACACCUAGUGCCCAUCGUUUACAGCGUGGACUAC
rnacentral:misc_RNA from 1 species